AGGUGCACCCCUAACUUCCUCGGCUCUUGCCUGACAAAGGAGAAUGGGAAAAGGCUCUCAUCCCCUUUUUCCAGCCAGCCGCCCCUUUCUUAGAUCGUAUGCGUUCAUUAGCCAGGAAUGAAAACCAGCUCACUCUCAACUUGCCGCAGUGUCUCCUAAAUAAUAGUGGGCAGAAAACUGUCUAGUCUACCUUUCAAUCCCAUAGUUCUCUCAUUUAACUUCUCAGUCCCAGCAUAUUAGGCCAAGUGAUAUUAAUGAGUCAUUCUAUUUCUUCCUUCUGCCUCCCACCCUUCCCUGAGCCCCGAUUGCAGGGGAGAUAAGCCCAUGCUUAUCUACAAGGCUGAAUAAAUGACUGAUUUAAUAGAGGCAGAUGACUGGGGCCAAUCUCUGAAGGUGUGCCCUAACUUUAUAUGUGUGUGCGUGCUCUUUCAAGAGAGUAUAAUCUCUUUCCUUUUUGUAGUGACCACUCUGUAAUGCCACUAUCAUGCUCAGUUGUCCUGCUGUAGCUGAAAUCAUUUCUGCAGCAACCUCUUGGAAUUACCUUGAAGAAGCAGCCCAGACAGAUCCUCUGAACAUUCUCUAAGGUGUCUUAAAACCGAAGAGCAUCACAGAAUGCCAGACACCAGACACUCACCACACGCAGUGGGUGCUAUUUCUGCACCAGGCUCCAGAGAGUGCGUUCCUGGGUGCUGACGCUCCUACAGCUGCCUCCUCUGCAACAGCCUCUCUUCCCUGUACAGAUUCCUCACCACAUCCAGCCAAAUUGCCUUCAUCUCAGCAGAGGCUGUAGAAGGCAGACGGCCAGGAGAGUGGGGCCGUCAAUGCACUGGGUACAGCAGUGAUCCUCCAGGAUUUUCAACACCUCAGGUCCUAGUGGCCUGGGAUGAUCUGACCCCAGACACCCUCCCCAGAUGCAAGUCCAUCCCCAAUGCACAGGAAGGAAUACAUCUCUGGAUUGACUAAAACAUCAUACUGGAAAGGAAGUUUGACAGAGGAAGGUCAUUCUCAUUCCACAGGCACUUCAAAGACAGGCUUCUCUCUUGGGAGUCGAGCUGUAGCUUCCAUGAAGUUUUCAGCACGUUUUCUGAAUACCCACCUGUCAUCGAUGCUUGGAGGUGCAAAGUGGGUUGGAUGACUGAAUCCUGCCCUUGAGAGCUGACACUGUCACCAACGUUGUUGAGAUGGGCUGGAGUCACCCACUGAGCACUCAGUGACUGGUACGCCAAAGGCCAAGGCCUCACGGUGGACACCAUGAUGAAAACAACAUACAAUUAGAUGGGAGGAAAAC
rnacentral:lncRNA from 1 species